AUACGGAGGGUGCAAGCGUUACUCGGAAUCACUGGGCGUAAAGCGCGCGCAGGCGGUCUUUUAAGUUGGAUGUGAAAGCCUACGGCUCAACCGUAGGACUGCAUCCAAAACUAUUAGACUAGAGUGUGGGAGAGGAAGAUGGAAUUAGUUGUGUAGGGGUAAAAUCCGUAGAGAUAACUAGGAAUACCAAAAGCGAAGGCAAUCUUCUGGAACACCUCUGACGCUGAGGCGCGAAAGCGUGGGGAGCAAACAGGAUUAGAUACCCUAGUAGUCC
rnacentral:rRNA from 1 species